rnacentral:lncRNA from 1 species
GGAACAUUGUGCUUACACUGCAUUGAUAGAAAACAAUGGGUUGGUCGUACUUGCAUCUGUAUCUCAGUAAAGUCUGGCCACGUUUACAGUUUUACUGGAAUGGUAUUGGAAAAGCUCACACUUUGCUCAGCAGUUUUCUGAGUUUCAUUCGUCCUGUUUCCUUUUGGGCUUUUUGGGAUUCCGAGAUCGGCUUUUUGCUUUGCAGAGUGGACAUAUUGGUGCAUUCCGAUGAAUUUGUUGGUGACAGGAUAAACAGGCCUUCAUUGGAGGUGGCUGUUGUCUGAACGUUGCUGUCUGUCUGGUAUCUUGCUUCCUAGCCACUUGCAGCUGUUGGGCAGCUGCUGCAGCUGCAGCCAGAGACUCUGGGAUGGGAGGCUCCUGUGGUUCUGUCUGCCAUUCUGCUUUCUGCUUUUCAAAGUAGUCAAGGGACAGUUUCUCUUCUUCCUCACACAAAUCUGGCAGCCUCUGCAAGCCCAAUGUCAUUCGCAGAGCAUCUACAUGCUCUUUUAAGGGUUUGUACUCCUCAUGUAGACGACGAGUAGAUUCCAAG